CUACACACAAGAAUAUUUCAUUUUCUCAAGCUUGAUUGGACUCCCUUAGAAAUAAGAGUUCUUCAGGUGUACUCUCUAAAGUCCUCUUUUCCAUUCCCCAUGGGAACACAGCCUGCGCUGGAGCUAAUGAAGAAUAAUGGCAGAGAGGACUGGGAAGACAAUCUAUUACUGGCUAAGAGGACUGGGAAGACAAGCUGCCCUGCAGAUCCUCCUGAUGAUACAAAUCUCACAGUGGCAAAGGACAACUUGUACUAGUUACCACAGACUAUGUUCUAAACCAGCAGAAACUAGAACAACCCGGGUGAUGGCUGCAGAACCAAGCGCAGUGCUCAGAUUCCAUCCUUGCCUCAACCUCAAGCGGUAUGCAGGCUGCGAGAACUCACUCUUCAUCUGUGAUGGCCUCGUGGCAGCUGUCACAGACCCUCACUUCAAACUCGAAGCCCAUCAGGGGGAUGGAGGAGCGCUUGGAGCUGCACUUGCCGCAGACAGCCUUCCCACACUUGCGGCAGUGGUGCUGGAGGAGGGAGAGAAAAUAGAUAGUCAUCAUGGCUCCUGAGGCCCCCACUCCUCACCCCUCCUGGCAGAGAGAGGUAUAUUUAACUGCAUCCAGGUGAGGAUGCUGAACAAGAGGGCCCCAGAACUAAAGGGAACACAUUAGAUUAUGUUCUCAUUUGGGGCUCUGUUUAUUCAACAAGGACGGUUGGGAAACACAUUUGACAGGGACGGACACCUCUCUUGCUUUCCCUACUCUUUCGUUUUUUUGAAACAGAGUCUUGUUGUAUUGCCCAGUCUGGAGUGCAGUGGCACACUCUUGGCUCACUGCAACCUCUGCCUCCUGGGUUCAAGCGAUUCUUCUGCCUCAUGGUGACCUCGGCUACCAUGCCCAGCUAAUUUUUGUAUUUUUAGGACAGAUGGGAUUUCACCAUUUGCCAGGCUGGUCUAGAACUCCUGACCUCGUGAUCUGCCCUCCUCGGCCUCCCAAAGUGCUGGGAUUACAGGCAUGAGCCACCGCACCCAGCCUGCUUUCCCUACUCUUGGUCCUUUCCAAUUAUCAUACUAGGAACUACAGAGGAACCACCCAGUGACCAGGUGAUUUUAGAGAGGGUGUAUGAGAAAGUGCCAUCUCUGGAGAUUAUGCUGCUGAAGGAGAACAUGCAGGAAACCUGAUUCAAUCUGCUGACUUUGGCCAUGGUGUUAAGUCUAGGCAACCUAACAUUGGAUUUCCUUGGGGAAGACCAAACAGAACCAUGGAAUUAGACUGAGUAUUGUAAGUAGAUCUCAAUAACUAAAAUUAAUCAGAAAGAGGGAAAGUAAAAUAAUUAAGGAGAGAGAAAUAUCACUUAUAUAAUUUCAUGGUUUGGUAUACAUAUAAACUAAGCAUGACACCUCUAAUUGUAAGGUGUACUGCAAUAACGGCCACUAGAAUUCUAAAAUCAUAUCCCUGUUUACUGCGAACCACCCAACUACAGAAACCAAAUCCAGUAGGAAUGAGCUAUGGUAGACAAGGAAAUUACUGUGCAAUCACAAGGUGACUCCAGGGUAAUAAUUUACCCCCACCACAACCCCCACCCAGGGGUGUUAUUUCUUCUAAGAUCACAUGGGCUGAGCUAUUUCCACACAAUUGCAUUUUGAUGAAGCAUCCGUAUCACUCACCUGUCUUAGACCAAUUUUCUUACUGUCCCACAUUUGCUUGAAGUUCCAGAAGAAAGGCUGAUCACAUUUUUGGCAGGAAUCACUGUCCAACCAUUCAGGGGUCUUGUCAAAUAAAGCACAGAACAGGUCACAGUGGCCAGCGGUAAGGACAAUGGAACCACUGACCCUGAUGAAAUUUAUGGAGUAAUUAGGAUGUGUUUAUAAGAAACAGAGGUGUGGUUUCUCAGUCAAUAAUUCAAAAAACAUUUACUGAAUGCCUAUUCUGUGGCAGGCCCUGGGGAUGUGAUGCAGUGGUAAAUAAGAAUCUCCACCAUCAUGAGAAUAUGAUCACGGCAUCAGGCAUCACAGGAGCCUCUGACCCAGGCUGAGGUUCUCAGACAAGACAACUAAGAUCUGGGGAUGGCUGGAGUGCAGAUGGAGGAAACAAGGGAUGAGGCUGGAGGAGGCAGUAUUAAUGUUUGUUUGUGAAACAAUUUCUCAAAUACCAGCCUAUUACCAUUAAAACUAUAUAGCAAAAACAAAUAUUUAAAGAAAUGGAACAUGUUCAAUAUAUAAUAAACUAAAACAAACCCCCCCAGGUUAUUAAAUAGUAUAGUAGCACAAAGUUAAGAGACACUAGGAGAAGAUAUUUAUAAACUUUGUAACUAACAACUCCUGCAAAUUACUGUGUACAAAGAACCCCUGGAAAAUCAAUAUGGAAAUAACAUGAAACAGUUGAGAAACUGGCAGAAGAUACAAAAGAUAUGAGCAUGCAGCUCAUAGGCAGGGAAGUCUGAAUUGCUAAAGUGAGCCUCUCUUCAUAAGAGAUGCUCAAAUCUACUGUUACAUAGAGAAUGCAAAUAAAAAUGAGAUGCUAUUUUACCUCUGUCUCCAAAAGGGCAAAAACAGAGAGGAGGUAACAAUAGCUAUUAGUGAGGAUGUGAGGUGUCAGAAACCUCCCUGUUCUCCAUUAGAAGUAUAAAUGAGUACAGUUGUUUAUACAACCAAAUAGCUGUACUCAUUUGUAGCAAAAUCAAGAAUAUACCUUCAACUGAUCCCACCCUUGGGUUUAUGGCCCUGAGAGUCUCACACAGGGCAGGUCUCUGAGGGGACACAUACAAGGUCAUCUGGGCACUGUGUGUGGUUAUCAGGGAGUUUGUGCCAAUCUACAUGCCCUUUGCUUGGGAAACAAGUAAAAUGUGACUACUGUACACUAUGGGGUCCUAUGCAGAAGCACCACAAGAAACAGCAGGAUGGGAGAGCCCAGAAGGGUUCAAUGAUGAAAGUUGGAAAUAAAACCAGAGUUACAGAACAUCAGUUAGGUAAACUUUUUUUUUUUUUCUUUUGAGACAAGAAUCUUGCCAUGUUGCGCAGGCUGGAGUGCAAUGGUAUGAACUUGGCUCAUUGCAACCUCUGCCUCCCAAGUUCAUGCAAUUCUCCUGCCUCGGCCUCCUGAGUAGCUGAGAUUACAAACAUGUGCCACCAUGCCCAGCUAAUUUUUUUGUAUUGUUGACAGGGUUUCACCAUGUUGGCCAGGCUGGUCUUGAACUCCUAACUUCAAGUGAUCCACCUGCCUCGGCCUCCCAAAGUGCUGGGAUUACAGGCAUGAGUCACUGCGCCCGGCCCAGUUAUGUAAACUUUGACACACACACACACACACACACACACACACACACACACACACACACACAUUUAUAAGGAAGCAUGAAGCAUGUGUGUUCAGGACACACAUCAAAUGCAUCACAGUGGGUAUCUGUGAGGAGGCAUUUAGGAGUUAAGGACCAAUAAAGGGAGGAAAAAUCAGCAUGUUUGUGAGUCUUUUUGUUGAAAAAAAAAAGUCUUACACACAUGUUACAUGCAGAGAAAAAUGUUAGGAAGGAUGACUGCCAACACAUUCAGAGUGAUAUUUCUGGGUGGUGGUAGCAUGAGCAACUGGCAUCUUCUCUAUUUACUACUGAGCCUUUUGUAACUUUUCUACCAAGAAUAUUAUAUACAAUAUAUACUUUUUAAACAUACUAAAAGUUAACAAAAAUGGGAUUUCGUUAACUGUAUAAAACCCCUGUUCAACCUAUGGGAUGUCACUCUAUCUGCAUCCAGCCACUCAAGGUCUUCCACCAUCUGCCCUUAUCUUUCAGCUAGCUGCCUUCCUCUCAUUUCUGACUGAUUCUCUAAAGUGUUCAUGAGCACUAAGGAACACAUCAACCUAUCAUGUUAACCUUGUCCGUACUCUUACUGUUUCUUGGCCUGCAAAGCCCAUGUGCUCCUCCUGCUCAGAGCACAUCCAGACCCUGUUGAUCCUUCAUCACAAUAUUCCUCCAUCAAUCCUUUACUGAGAACAUUAGCCAAAGACGACUCCAUCCCUUCUGAAAUACCCAGCACUGUGUUCUAGCAUGUAUCAACUGUAAUUUCAUCAUUUACACCAUUUGAUAGAAUUCUGAAGUUUCCUCCUACAAGCCUUUUCUUCCGGAAAGUCUAUCAGUACUUCAAGUUAGAGAUGACUUCAUUAUAUGUCUCAGACCUCCCAAGGUGAGCAUCACACAGCACUUAUCAUAACCAGGAAGCAGCUCCACUGAGGCUAAGAUUAAAACAAAAAUCUCAGGAAAUAUGUUUUAAAAAUGAUACUUGCAAAAAAUGAAUGGUAACAAUGUCCAUUGCUUAUUUAGAGUGUUGACUCACUGGACAAGAUUUUAAAUUAGUCAAUAGAUAUAGGGUGUCCCUAUAUCUGCAUAGCAAGAGGCAUAAUUUUAACAAGGUUGCUCAAAGAACUGCCAAUAAACCACUUGGUUUCAUCUCUGGACACCACACUGUUAUCCUCCUUUGGCCCCCCAUCCAUACAGGGUCCAGACUGUGUGCACCAAGGGAAAAGAAUCUGGUCCUUCUCCCCUCCCCUGGUUUGAUUAGGUGGGUGAAGGAAGUCAGGACAGACCAGGUGUGACUGUCCCUAACCGAAAGCAGGCUACCAUGCAGAACCAACUCACGACAUAAUCAUCGGCCACAAGGGAACCUGGUUAGUAUGAUUGACACUGCAAAGAUCCCCAGACGUUAUACUGAUGAUGCCAAGUAUAGUUUUCAAAAGCAAUGUUCUACAAUUCCCCACCUUCUAACAGUAAUGAUCAUUUUGAUUAGUUACUGAUAAAACUCCCAUGGACUUAAGAUCUGAGCAAAUAAAGCUUUAAUCUUCUUAAGCAUAUAAUUACUGGCAUUUGAAAAGGCAUUACAUUGUGGGUAAUGGCAACUACUCUCUUGAAAUGAGACUGGGGUGAGGGCAUGGAAAGAAGGUGGGAGACUCCUUUUGUCUUUUUAAAGAGUUGCUUUUCUAUUUAAUUCUUGCAUCCUGCAAGAAAUUAAUUAUAAGAAUGUGCCUUAUCAAAGGGAAAGUCUGCCCAGAAUAAUUCUAAUGUAACAGGAAAACGGUAACUUCAAAGUACUUAUCAAAGGAGAUAUGCAGGAAACAUAUUCGUUAAGAUGCUCAAAGAUUAAAAUGAAAACUCAUAAAAAAGAAUGUUCUGAUAACAUGUAAAUACAUGCUAAAAAACUAAUGAUAUAUUUAUAUCUGGGGAACUAUUUAGAACAUGACUUAUGAAGUACAAAAUAAUUAUUUCUAGUAUUUCUAUUAAUACCAAACUAAGGAUUAUUGCUUCAUCUUAGCCACUAUUUUCCCCCAUAAAAUAUAUUACGAGUCCUUUGCUUUUGUAGCGCAUUUUAUACUAAAAAAGGACUAAUCACCAGGAAAUAGAUGGUUUCUUUUUCUCGCCUGCACUUUUGCUGUGAAUGGUGUAACAGAUUUAAACAGCUUAGUCUCAGUCAAAAUUCUUAUGAAAUCUCCAUCACAGUAAUGUUACAUGCCAAUUUGUGAGGGGCAAAAAAAACCCCAAAGAAACCCAACUCAACUCCUUUUAUGCUAUAAUUUCUAAUUCUUUGACAUUCCAUGCCUUAUUUUAUGGUUUAAUCAUAAAAGAAAUAAGAAAUAAGCAGGAUGGGAGGCAGGACCAGAACCAAAGGGCCCACCCCACCCUGCUGUGCCACUUACCUCCUGCCUCUCCACGUCCAUGUUCCAGACGACAAUCCCACCAUCCCCGCCACAGGAGAUCAGCUGCCGUGUAUGCUGUGCAUAGGAGAGGGACUGUACUUUGUCGCUGUGAAAGAAACCAAGGGUUAGUGACUGUUUAGGAGAACAAAUGCAAGGCCUUACGGCAGAAACCUCAGCAAAGUCAGCCAAUGGGCACACUCACUAGCCCCAAGUGUAGAUCUUAAAAACCUGAUGGAAUUUUCAGCAUGCUAAAGGUCAGGAGAAUGUCCAGGAUUUAAAAUAAGUCUGAAUGCUCCUUGACAUGCUCAGGCCCCAGGAAGAAGUAAUCUGUCAGUUUUAACACUUAAGGUGUUCAUUUUAUAUUUCUUCAAGAGUCAUGAUUUUCCCUUUUAAGAAAUUAUUCUUGAAGAGUUUUAGAGGUCAUCUGUCAAGAUGCCCACUGGAUUUACCUGACACAGCCAGGUAAACUGUGUUACCUGAGGUGUGCAUCUCACAGGUGGCUUGGGACCAGCUGUGCCUUUUCUUGGCUCCCAGAGUGAAUCCAUAUCAGUAACAGACUUGAAUAUCACAGGUUCUGUAUUUCUCUAGUUUUUAUUCCCUCUCUCCUGAUUCUGUUUUAUUUUUCUUUCUAGUUUGUGCAUGUCUGACAAGUUAUUCCCUCUUGGCAGCAAAAAUGAUGGAGAAUUUAGUUUUAUGGUCUGAGUGAUCACUAACAAUGGAUUUAUAGAGAUCCAUUCUCUGUUGGGUGAGAGAAGUUUCUUGAUUUUUUUUUUUUUUUUUUUGUAUGUUCAUCUAUUUUGAGCUCAAAUCAAUGAAGACUUUUGUUUCUACUGGGAAGGAGAACAGCUCUUUGAUAUCUAGACUGGUGAUUUUUUGUGUUUCUGUUUAUUCUUGAUCUGUGGCCGAAGUUGAAAAACUAAAGCUGUUAAGCUCUGUGUGUCUAUGUGUUUAUAAUCCAGAAAAGCCUUCGACUCUUGCUGUAUGUGGAAUGCUUUCCUACUUGUAGAGGGUGUCAAUAAAUUGGAUUAUGAUACCUUUUAAAUUAAAAGAACUUAUUCUGACUGAUAGAGAUAAACAAGUGCUUUUAUAAAUUGAAUCCUCCUAAAAUCACAGAUCAAACUUCUACUAUUUUGAACCUGCUAGACUUAAACAUAAAAAUUAUUUUAACAAAAACUGCUAGCCAAUCAGUAAUAUUUUAAGAAUCUAAGUUCAUAAAAUUAAGUUUCAUUUGGCAAAUGAAACUAGUAAUAUAGGUUUUAAAGCAGAAUACAAGUGUGUAUUUUAUUUUAUGUGGGUUUAUUUCUCCUAAAUUUAUUCAGGAUAGCUGGUCAAAUGAUCUCAUACAUAAUGUUUAAAAUUAUUAAAAAUAUAAAUUUAUCCCAGCACUUUGGGAGGCCGAGGCGGGUGGAUUACAAGGUCAAGAGAUCGAGACCAUCCUGGUCAACAUGGAGAAACCCCAUCUCUACUAAAAAUACAAAAAAUUAGCUGGGCAUGGUGGUGCAUGCCUGUAGUCUCAGCUACUCGGGAGGCUGAGGCAGGAGAAUUGCUUGAACCCAUGAGACGGAGGUUGCGGUGAGCCGAGAUCGUGCCAUUGCACUCCAGCCUGGGAUAACAAGAGCGAAACUCUGUCUCAAAAAAAAAAAGUAUAUAUAUAUAUAAAUUUGUAUUCAGCUGAAUUGAAUAAUUAUUCUGACAAACUUUUUAUAUGAAUAGCAAUUAUGUGUUGUAGCAUAUCAACUUAGAGAUAAUUUCCAAGAUCUUUACGUAAUAAAAUGGACUAAUCUUAACUUGAGCUAAUCAAUAAUCAUUGGAUACCUAGAUAAUUUCUAAGUAAGUUAGAAUACUGUGACUUUGAUUAUAAAGUAUAAUAUUAAGUUUAUAUGUUUGCUUAUUUUUCUGUGCUACAGUGAGGCUAUACCUUUGGUUGUGUCAAUAAAUGAGUUCAUUUUUUAUCACUUUAAGGGAAUGUAAAGGUACCUUAUGUCACUAUGGAAAUUUCAGUAAUGUGUGUUCACGAGUUUUGCUAGUCUGCUAAAAUGAUAAUAUGGGAUGAUUUUCAAUUGUCCAUAUCCUCCCUCCUCCUCAUUUUCUCUGUGAAAUAUAAAUUAGCUUCUUUGGUUAAUUAUUAUAAUUUAAAUGGGUGGUUGAGAUUACACCAGAAGCAAUACUGAAAAAGAAAUACAAUGAUGUGUGUGUUUUGUUUUUCAAAGAAAAACAGAGUAGUUUUGUCUCAAAGUAGUGGUUCUUGAACUUCCUGGUUCUCACAAUCCCUUUAUACUCUUAAACUUAUUUGACGGCACCAAAGAGCUUUGGUUUAAUAAGUGAUAAUGAUUGAUAUUUACUGUAUUUACAAUUAAAACAGAAAUUUAAAAAAUAUUCAUUUGAAAAUAGAAAUGAUGAAUCCAUUUCAACAUAGGUCACAUAUUCUGUAAAAAAAAAAUGUUUUCCAAAAGAAAAAAAUUUUGUUGAGAAAAAUGACAUUGUUUACUAUUUUUGCAAGUCUUUCUAAUGUCUGAUUUAAUAGGAGAGCUGGAUAAUCAUCUCUUUCUACAUUUAUCAUAAUCAUAAUAUCACUUAUCAUGUAGCUUCUGGAAAACUCCACUGUAUACUUUUGAGAGAAUGGAGAUGAAAAGGGCAAUCCUAAAAUGUCAGUUUGUCUUGGAAUAUGAAAGAGAAAAAAUGAAGGACAAAACUUGGAAAGUGAGUUUUACUUGCUUUGGCUUGUAAUACUUUAGUAUAAAAAACAGCUAUAAAAGCAUUACAAUUUUGGCUAAGUUCCCUCAGUUUUGAUGGCUUGCUUCCUUAGUUUACUGAUUAAUGCCUACAAUGUGAAAGGAUAUUCUUUACCUUCUGUGGAGUCUGCCUAGCUAGCAGAAAUUCCAUGUCUCACCAGAAUUAUUUUUAGUGCUUUAUAUUAACUUGAUUAAUGUUCUUGAUUUAAAAAAAAGAACAAGGAGUACUCACUUGUGAAAAGAAUUUUAAAUUAUUUAAAAUUGUGUUAUCAUCUACAUUUAUUUUAAAAUGUUUUAAUGCUUUGAAUAUACAGAUAACCAGGUAUUGUUUCUUGAGCAUCUGCGCUCCUGUCUUACCCUACUUAAAAUUCCCUUGAUGACUUUGGUUUUGCCUUUUCAAACUGAACCCUCUAUUUUGAAAAAAUAAAAAUUUUAGGAUGUGCUUUAUGCCUAAAACUUUCUUUGAGAUUUCCCAGAGAGGUCCUGGAAAACCAUAAAGAUGAGAAAUGUGGUGAGGCACAGUGGCUCAUGCCUGUAAUCCCAGCACUUUGGGAGGCUGAGGCAGAAGGACUGCUUGAGCCAAAGAGUUUGAGACCAGCCUUGGCAGCAUGGUGAGACCCUGUCUCUACAAAAUAAAAAAAUUAGUUAGACAUAGUGGUACACGCCUGUAGUCCCAGCUACUAGGGAGGCUGAGAUCAGAGGAUUGCUUGAGCCUGGAAGACUGAGGCUGCAGUGAACUGUGAUCAUACCACUGCACUCUAGCGUGGGAGACAGAGCAAGACCUUGUCUGAAAAAUGAAAAAAAUUUUAAAAAAGAAAUGCUAUAAAUAAUUGCAUUUGUUUGAUGUGUUACUAUUCUAAGAGUACAUCAGAAAAAUUGUCAGAUCAGAAGAGAUGCUCAGCCUGCCCUAGAUUAAGUCAGUAAAAAAUUUUAUUAGUAUUUCAGAUAUUAUAUGUUUUAUUGGAAGACUGUAGCAAUUUCCCAAUGUCAUUAUUGUCUAUAAUAUGUUUCUACCCUUGGGGAAAUACUAAUCACAAUUCUUAGGAAAUAGUUAUAUAGCAUAUCUCAAUGGGGAAUUUUACUUUCCCUCAUUCUGAUAUCAUUGAUCACAAUUACAAAUUAACCAUUAAGUCACUAAAUCUUUGUAAUCUGUAGAUAAUUUUUGUAUUACUCUCAUCCUUGCCUAAGGGCUCUGCUAUAAAGUAGAGUUUGUGACUUCAAUAAAAGAUGGCCUCAGA